CGAACGCUGGCGGCGUGGAUUAGGCAUGCAAGUCGAGCGGUAGAUAUUGAAGCUUGCUUCGAUAUUGAGAGCGGCGAACGGGUGAGGAAUACUUGGGUAAUUUGCCCUAAAGUCUGGAAUAGCUUCGGGAAACUGGAGGUAAUGCCGGAUGUGAUCGUCUGCCACAAGGUAGAUUGUUUAAAGCGUGGGAUCUUCGGACCACGUGCUUUAGGAUAGGCCCGAGUCCUAUCAGCUUGUUGGUGAGGUAAUGGCUCACCAAGGCAAAGACGGGUAGCUGGUCUGAGAGGAUGGUCAGCCACACUGGGACUGAGACACUGCCCAGACUCCUACGGGAGGCUGCAGUCGAGAAUCAUUCACAAUGCACGAAAGUGUGAUGAUGCGACGCCGCGUGAAGGAUGAAGGCCCUAGGGUCGUAAACUUCUGUCAGAAGGAAAGAACGGUCUUUAAGUUAAUAGCUUUUAGAUUUGACGGUACCUUCAGAGGAAGCAACGGCUAACUCUGUGCCAGCAGCCGCGGUAAUACAGAGGUUGCAAGCGUUGUUCGGAUUUACUGGGCGUAAAGGGUGCGUAGGCGGUUUUGUGUGUCAGAUGUGAAAGCCCAUGGCUCAACCAUGGAAUUGCAUUUGAAACUGCAGAACUAGAGUAUCGGAGAGGUAGAUGGAAUUCUUAGUGUAGCGGUGAAAUGCGUAGAUAUUAAGAAGAACACCAGCGGCGAAAGCGAUCUACUGGACGAAUACUGACGCUGAGGCACGAAAGCCAGGGGAGCGAAGAGGAUUAGAUACCCUCGUAGUCCUGGCCAUAAACGGUGUACACUUGGUGUAGGAGGAUUUAACCCCUUCUGUGCCGGAGCAAACGUGUUAAGUGUACCGCCUGGGGAGUACGGUCGCAAGACUAAAACUCAAAGGAAUUGACGGGGGCCCGCACAAGCGGUGGAGCAUGUGGCUUAAUUCGAUGCAACGCGAAGAACCUUACCUGGACUUGACAUGCCCUUCAUACCUGAGUGAAAGCUCGGGGUCAUUUAGUUGGAAGGUGCACAGGUGCUGCAUGGCUGUCGUCAGCUCGUGCCGUGAGGUGUUGGGUUAAGUCCCGCAACGAGCGCAACCCUUGUCUUUAGUUGCCAUCUGGGAGCGAUCCGCAGGGAACUCUAAAGAGACUGCCCCGGUAACGGGGAGGAAGGUGGGGAUGACGUCAAGUCAGUAUGGUCCUUAUGUUCAGGGCUGCACACGUGCUACAAUGGAACGUACAAUGGGAAGCGAACCCGCGAGGGGGAGCCAAUCCUCAAAACGUUCCUCAGUUCGGAUUGGAGUCUGCAACUCGACUCCAUGAAGCUGGAAUCGCUAGUAAAGGGACAUCAGCUACGGUCCCUUGAAUACGUUCCCGGGCCUUGUACACACCGCCCGUCACAUCAUGGAAGCUGUCUGCUCCCGAAGUCACUGUUUCAACCCGUAAGGGAGAUAGGUGCCGAAGGAGUGGGUAGUGACUGGGAUGAAGUCGUAACAAGGUAGCCGUUGGGGAACCAGCGGCUGGAUCACCUCCUUUCUAAGGAGAAUCUGCGAAAGGACUUGAAUCAGAUAUCCUGAUUUAUUGAUGCUUUUCUGCAGAUAGGUUAAACACCAGUUUCAUUACUGGUUGUGUAAUACGGUAACGUAUUACAACGACAACUUACAGGGUUUGUACGGUUUCAUAAGUCGCAUCAUUUCUAGAGCGAAAUAAUUCAACGGCAACUAUCACUUCGGUGAUAUCCCGGUCUCUCAAACAGAUUUUGGGGCCAUAGCUCAGCUGGGAGAGCGCCUGAUUUGCAUUCAGGAGGUCGUCGGUUCGAUCCCGUCUGGCUCCACCAGUUUUUGAUUCAGCCGGGCGCAUAGCUCAGUUGGUUAGAGCGCGUCCCUGAUAAGGACGAGGUCCCAGGUUCGAGUCCUGGUGCGCCCACCAUGCUUCGCCCUUCGGGCUACGCAUGGCACGCCAUUUAGAUUUGAGAUCUAAAACAAAAAAGCAUUACUUGCUACAUCUACUUUCGGUCAUUGAGGUCAACGCGACUUCUUUGCACCACAGUUCUUUGAAAAUUGCAUAGAUAGGGUAUACAAAUUACAACCGAUAAUAAAUCGGGAUAUAAACAAUUAUGGUUAAGUUACAAAAAGCACAAGGUGAAUGCCUUGGCAUCAGAUGGCGAUGAAGGACGUGAUAAGCUGCGAUAAGCUUCGGGUAGUGGCAAAUACACAUUAAUCCGAAGAUCUCCGAAUGGGAAAACCCAGCCAGUAUAAAUAACUGGUUACCUGCACCUGAAUACAUAGGGUGUAUGGAGCAAUACUCAGGGAAGUGAAACAUCUCAGUACCUGAAGGAAAAGAAAACAACCGUGAUUCCCCAAGUAGUGGCGAACGAACGGGGAACAGCCCAAACCAACAC
rnacentral:rRNA from 1 species